rnacentral:rRNA from 1 species
CCUACGGGUGGCUGCAGUGGGGAAUAUUGGACAAUGGGGGCAACCCUGAUCCAGCCAUGCCGCGUGUGUGAAGAAGGCCCUCGGGUUGUAAAGCACUUUCAGUGAGGAAGAACGCCUGGUGGUUAAUACCCAUCAGGAAAGACAUCACUCACAGAAGAAGCACCGGCUAACUCCGUGCCAGCAGCCGCGGUAAUACGGAGGGUGCGAGCGUUAAUCGGAAUUACUGGGCGUAAAGCGCGCGUAGGUGGCUUGAUAAGCCGGUUGUGAAAGCCCCGGGCUCACCCUGGGAACGGCAUCCGGAACUGUCAAGCUAGAGUGCAGGAGAGGAAGGUAGAAUUCCCGGUGUAGCGGUGAAAUGCGUAGAGAUCGGGAGGAAUACCAGUGGCGAAGGCGGCCUUCUGGACUGACACUGACACUGAGGUGCGAAAGCGUGGGUAGCAAACAGGAUUAGAUACCCUUGUAGUC